CAAUAGCGUAUAUUAAAAUUGUUGCAGUUAAAAAGCUCGUAGUUGGAUUUCUGAUCGAGACAUCAGGUCGGGUCCGAGAGGAUCAUGUACUUUGAUUUUGUUUUGAUCAUCCUUGGGGAGAGCAUUUCUGGCAUUCAGUUGUCGGGAUUGGGAUCCUCAUCGUUUACUGUGAAAAAAUUAGAGUGUUCAAAGCAGGCCUCGGCCUCUGAAUACAUUAGCAUGGAAUAAUAAGAUAGGACUUUGGUGGUCUAUUUUGUUGGUUUGCACGCCAAAGUAAUGAUUAAUAGGGAUAGUUGGGGGUAUUCGUAUUCAAUUGUCAGAGGUGAAAUUCUUGGAUUUAUGGAAGACGAACUACUGCGAAAGCAUUUGCCAAGGAUGUUUUCAUUGA
rnacentral:rRNA from 1 species